rnacentral:tRNA from 1 species
GCGGGGUGGAGCAGUCUGGUAGCUCGUCGGGCUCAUAACCCGAAGGUCGUUGGUUCAAAUCCUGUCUCUUAUA